UGUGAGAGCAAGAGCCCGGAGAUGGAUUCUGAGACACGAAUCCAGGCCCUACGGGGUGCAGCAGGCGCGAAAACUUUACAAUGCUGGCAACAGCGAUAAGGGAACCUCGAGUGCCAGGUUACAAAUCUGGCUGUCGAGAUGCCUAAAAAGCAUUUCAUAGCAAGGGCCGGGCAAGACCGGUGCCAGCCGCCGCGGUAACACCGGCGGCUCGAGUGGUAACCGUUAUUAUUGGGUCUAAAGGGUCUGUAGCCGGCCGGAUAAGUCUCUUGAGAAAUCCAGCAGCUCAACUGUUGGGCUUUCAGGAGAUACUGUCUGGCUCGAGGCCGGGAGAGGUGAGAGGUACUUCAGGGGUAGGGGUGAAAUCUUGUAAUCCUUGAAGGACCACCAGUGGCGAAGGCGUCUCACCAGAACGGACCUGACGGCAAGGGACGAAAGCUAGGGGCACGAACCGGAUUAGAUACCCGGGUAGUCCUAGCCGUAAACGAUACUCGCUAGGUGUCGGCCACGGUGCGACCGUUGUCGGUGCCGUAGGGAAGCCGUGAAGCGAGC
rnacentral:rRNA from 1 species